UGAGUAAUCUGCCCUUCUCAUCGGAAUAAGCGUUGGAAACGACGUCUAAUGCCGAAUACGACCUCCUUUCGCAUGAUCGGAGGUGGAAAGCUCCGGCGGAGAAGGAUGAGCUCGCGGCCUAUCAGCUAGUUGGUGUGGGUAAUGGCCCACCAAGGCGACGACGGGUAGCCGGCCUGAGAGGGUGACCGGCCACACUGGGACUGAGACACGGCCCAGACUCCUACGGGAGGNAG
rnacentral:rRNA from 1 species